rnacentral:rRNA from 1 species
GUAGCAAUACAAGGCAUACGGCUCAGUAACGCGUAGUCAACCUAACCUAUGGACGGGAAUAACCUCGGGAAACUGAGAAUAAUGCCCGAUAGAACAUUAUGCCUGGAAUGGUCUAUGUUCCAAAUGAUUUAUCGCCGUAGGAUGGGACUGCGGCCUAUCAGUUUGUUGGUGAGGUAAUGGCCCACCAAGACUAUUACAGGUACGGGCUCUGAGAGGAGUAGCCCGGAGAUGGGUACUGAGACACGGACCCAGGCCCUAUGGGGCGCAGCAGGCGAGAAAACUUUGCAAUGUGCGAAAGCACGACAAGGUUAAUCCGAGUGGUUUCUGCUAAAGAAACUUUGUAGUUCUAGAACACUGAUGAAUAGGGGUGGGCAAGUU